UUUUCUUUGGUUUUCAAGCCUUUCUUUAAUACAUCAGUCAUUCACAAGUGUGCAGCUGAUGGUUCUGGUGUCUGCAGUUCUGGAAUGCUCUAAUCAUCUAAUAAAACGCAGGACACUGAGUCAACUUUAAAUCUUAGGUAUUCAGUGAAUCAAAUUUUGAUAUCCUUAUGUUGCUUGCAAUAUUUAGGAUAUGCUUACAUUUAUAAUUGUGUGUUAUAUUCCUGAAAUGCAAAGUUAACCAGACUCUCUCCUCUUUUCUCCUAAAGAACAUAAUCUGAUGUUUAGAGGCUUUGUGUUUUGCAAUUUGAGGCCAUAAACUCAUCCCGAGGGAGAUUUUAUCUGUGAGAUUCUUUGUUUUGUUUGAAUUGACGAUAAGUACUUCUCAAAAUGCUUUCAUUUCUUGGGUCAGGAACCCCAGAGCUGAAAUCAGAGCUGGGCCUUUUGAAUAUUUUGCCUGGUAAUUGAAGUCCUAGCAGGAUUUGACCUGAAGUGAUCCAUGAAACAAGUGACCUGGGAGUCAAUCACAAAUUCUGCUCUCCACUAGGAAGUCUGAGAUAUAAGCCAGGAAAAUGAUUAAAAGCUCCCAGGGGUGCAAAAUCCAGCCACCACCACUUGAUCUUUGGCCUCCUGACACUGACGACCUCACGCUGCCAACCUCUCAAAGAAAACAGAGCGAUUGACACCACAGAUUGAAUCUCAACCUUGCAUUUCCAGGGGCAGAACAUUCGGCUUCAUGGCUUCAUGAGCCCCUCUCU